rnacentral:lncRNA from 1 species
GGCAUACAUAAAUUGAUAUGCUCAGAAGUUCAAACCUUUUUUUCCUCAUUCUUUUUCAGAUUUCAUUCAUGACUGUACCCAGUGUACAGAAUCAAAUUAGCACAGAAACCUAUGGUUUGAAAAACCCAAAGAACACCGUUUUUGAGGAGGAAAUUAUACACUACUCCAGUAUUUUUUUGCCAACAAAACCCAAUGAAUUAUAUGGUCCAUGGAGUCAUGAAGAGUCAGACAUCACUGAAUGACAACAACAUUAAUAAACUCCUAUGAAAUAUUGAUUUGCA